AUAGCUAUUCUAAACGUGGCUUCCCCUCGCAGACCUGUUUCAAGACUACGUACUGUCCAGUACAAGGCGAUUGUUCGGCCAGGCUUGAAAGGAACCACGUAACACUGAUUUCCAUUUAUGAACAACCUGAAUUUUCUUAGUCGUUCAAAAUGGUUUCAUCGAAGAAGGUUGCUGUUGUCAUGACUGUGUGCGUCUUCAUUUACUUGUCAUGUUUUGUCACUUGGGGAACUGCUCAAAGCAAUAGUAGCCUGUAUCAAAUUCAAAAGGGGAAAAAAUCCUCGAGCAUCCUGCGUACCAUAGGUUUUGGAUCCGCCGCAAUUUGUGGGAGCUUCUGUAAAGCUUUCUUGGGAUGCGUUGGUUUCAACUUGAAAACGAAUGGACCCAAUAUGUGUGAGUUGGUAUCGGAUGUUUCGACAUUGGUGGAUGAUCCUGAUUACGAUUUGUACGCCUAGACUUUGAAAGCACUUUCACCACCAGGGUGGCACAUUAACACAUUCAGGCAGGAUGAAGCUUAAAGAAAUUUCCAACCCAUAGAAAAAUAAUCACAAAAAACGCUGACACGUUCAAGCUCAAUAAACUCAAGAAUUCAUUUA